rnacentral:rRNA from 1 species
CCCUUAGAUGUUCUGGGCCGCACACGCGCUACACUGAAGGAGGCAGCGUGUACUCCUGGGUCGAAAGAUUUGGGUAACCCGCGAAUCUCCUUCGUGCUAGGGAUUGAGGUUUGCAAUUAUCCUUCAUGAACGAGGAAUUCCCAGUAAGUGCAAGUCAUAAGCUUGCGCUGACUACGUCCCUGCCCUUUGUACACACCGCCCGUCGCUACUACCGAUUGAAUGAUUUAGUGAGGACUUCGGACUGGGACCGAUGCGGCUUUCGGGCUGCGUCGGUAUUCUGGAAAGAUGUCCAAACUGUAUCAUUUAGAGGAAGUAAAANUCGUAACA